UACGUAGGGUGCGAGCGUUAAUCGGAAUUACUGGGCGUAAAGCGUGCGCAGGCGGUUUUGUAAGCCAGAUGUGAAAUCCCCGGGCUUAACCUGGGAAUGGCAUUUGGGACUGCAAGGCUCGAGUGCGGCAGAGGAGACUGGAAUUCCUGGUGUAGCAGUGAAAUGCGUAGAUAUCAGGAGGAACACCGAUGGCGAAGGCAGGUCUCUGGGCUGACGCUGACGCUCAUGCACGAAAGCGUGGGGAGCAAAAGGG
rnacentral:rRNA from 1 species